rnacentral:RNase_P_RNA from 1 species
CGAGUUGGCCGGGCGACCGCGGAGAAAUUCGAGGAAAGUCCGGACUUCGCAGAGCAGGGUGAUUGCUAACGGCAAUCCGAGGAAACUCGCGGGAAAGUGCCACAGAAAACAGACCGCCGGAGACGGUAAGGGUGAAACGGUGCGGUAAGAGCGCACCAGCGCCCCGGGUGACCGGGGCGGCUAGGCAAACCCCACCCGAAGCAAGGCCAAGAAGGCCGCAACCUGGUUGCGGCUGCGCGAGCGUUCGAGGGCUGCUCGCCCGAGCUUGCGGGUAGGCCGCUUGAGGCACCCGGCGACGGUGUGUCCAGAUGGAUGGUCGCCGCUUGGCACCUCGGCAACGAGGAGCCGAGCACAGAAUCCGGCUUACAGGCCAACUCGUCCG